rnacentral:rRNA from 1 species
GGGUUGUGAGGUUAAGCGACUAAGCGUACACGGUGGAUGCCCUGGCAGUCAGAGGCGAUGAAGGACGUGCUAAUCUGCGAAAAGCGUCGGUAAGGUGAUAUGAACCGUUAUAGCCGGCGAUGUCCGAAUGGGGAAACCCAGUGUGAUCCGUCACACUAUCGUUAACUGAAUACAUAGGUUAACGAGGCGAACCGGGGGAACUGAAACAUCUA